UACGUAGGGAGCAAGCGUUGUCCGGAAUCAUUGGGCGUAAAGCGCGCGUAGGUGGCCCCAUAAGUCCGCUGUGAAAGUCAAAGGCUCAACCUUUGAAAGCCGGUGGAUACUGUGGGACUAGAGUGCGGGAGAGACGAGUGGAAUUCCUGGUGUAGCGGUGAAAUGCGCAGAUAUCAGGAGGAACACCAAUUGCGAAGGCAGCUCGCUGGGACGUUACUGACACUGAGGCGCGAAAGCGUGGGGAGCGAACAGG
rnacentral:rRNA from 1 species